CCAGCCUGGGUGACAGAGCAAGAUUCCAUCUCAAAAUAAGAAUUCUCAUUCUCCCUCUCACAAUCUAGGCUGUCUCCAAAUUAUAUCAAGAGGCUCUAUAAUUUUAUAAAACAAAUACAUUUAAUUCACUUUAUCAAAUUCAUUUUUAUGUGGCCAUUCCAUAAGACUCUGAAUAGCUGUCACUGAUAUAUUAGUAGUGAUAAGAGUUUCUGGCUAACUUUAUUUCCACAAUUUCAGGACACAGUGAGCUCAAGAAACCACCAAACACAGAGCAAAAACAAGGAUUUGAGGCACAGUUCCACACUUUCUAGCUAUGAGAGCUUGGCCAAGCUACUUAAUUCUCCAGCCUUAUAUUUUCUCGGCUAAAAAUAUAUGGGGCAAGUCUUGUGAAGAUGCAAUGAGAUAAUGGAUGGGAAAGCCCUUUGUGAAGUGUAAAGCAACACACAAAUGCAGAAAUAACAACUAACAGAAGGCUCCCAACUGGAGGAUCAUGUGGAAAAAUGGAAGAACUGAGACUAUCUUCUGGCCAUGAACAGAAGGAGAAAAGAUUGUGGAUAUACUCCAAUCAACAAUAAAGCGAACAACAUAUAUUAGUGCUGGGGACUCUCAAGACUUGAAUGAAUAUAACACCUAGUUGUUAUCCUCAAGGAACUUAUAAAUGAAUUGGACCAACAAGACAUAGCCCUGCAAAAUACUUAGUGCAUCAGGAAGCAUACAAAGUAUUACACUCUGUGGAAUCAAUAAUUCAACAGUAAAUAUCUGUAUGUAUGCAUAUAUAGAUAUGGAUAAUGUCACAUCCUUAAGAAAAGAUUUGGAAGCAGUUUACAUGUGAGAUGAAUAAACUCACAUAUAAGAUGAAUGGGAUAAAUGAAGACAUGAGGAUAAAGGGAAAUAAAGGCAGGAAAAUAAGUCAAAGCCAAGGAUCAGGAUCAGCCCCAAAAUAAGCUCCAUAAGGGUUGUUUCAGUUGUUGGAAAUGAGCCACAAUUUGGUUCCUUGUAGCCAGAGCCCAUUACUGACAUGAUUUCUUUUUGUACAUGAGAUAACAAUCAAAGCACUUUUUUGCAAAACAUCUUCUCCUACUACUGGACUCCUGAGCAAAAUUUGUGGGUUUUUCCAAGACAGAGAAUUCCAGAUUAUGUAAACAGGGCUCUAACAAUAUCCCCACAGUAGAUACAAUAUUUAGCCUCACAGAGAGUGUUCUUUUGAAUGCCCUCAGUGUACGCUGAUGGCAAUGUUAAGAAGAGCCAAGACGAUUUGGUCCUAGAGCACAACUUUCUAAUGGUCUGUUUUAUUACAAAGAUAAACCAAGACAACACAGACAUGGAGAGAAUGCAUAUAUUUUAGGCUCCAUUAUAGCAGAUGCCAGGGCUGCUAAACACUAUAAGGAAAUGCAUAGCUUUGGAGCUCAGAGACCUGGGCACCCAUCUUGGUAUUCUCACUAACCAGGUAACUUUGGGCAAAGAACUAAAACUUAACAGACACCCUAUUAAAAACACCACAUAGCAGACAUCCUGUUAAAAAUACUUAAACUGAAAUCCAAAUAAAUAAAUAAAUAAAGGCAAAAUAUGAAAGAUGCUAAA
rnacentral:lncRNA from 10 species